rnacentral:rRNA from 1 species
CCUACGGGUGGCAGCAGUGGGGGAUAUUGCACAAUGGGGGAAACCCUGAUGCAGCGACGCCGCGUGGGUGAAGAAGUAUUUCGGUAUGUAAAGCCCUAUCAGCAGGGAAGAAAGACGACGGUACCUGACUAAGACGCCCCGGCUAACUACGUGCCAGCAGCCGCGGUAAUACGUAGGGGGCGAGCGUUAUCCGGAUUCACUGGGUGUAAAGGGAGCGUAGACGGCCGUGCAAGCCAGGAGUGAAAGCCCGGGGCCCAACCCCGGGACUGCUCUUGGAACUGUGCGGCUGGAGUGCGGGAGGGGCAGGCGGAAUGCCGGGUGUAGCGGUGAAAUGCGUAGAUAUCAGGAGGAACACCGGCGGCGAAGGCGGCCUGCUGGACCGCGACUGACGUUGAGGCUCGAAAGCGUGGGGAGCGAACAGGAUUAGAUACCCCGGUAGUC